rnacentral:rRNA from 1 species
AUUGAACGCUGGCGGCGUGCCUAACACAUGCAAGUCGAGCGGUAACAGGUGUAGCAAUACAUGCUGACGAGCGGCGAACGGGUGAGUAAUGCUUCGGAAUCUACCCAAUGGUGGGGAAUAACCAGCCGAAAGGUUGGCUAAUACCGCAUACGUCCCACGGGAGAAAGCAGGGGAUCGCAAGACCUUGCGCCAAUGGAUGAGCCGAAGUCGGAUUAGCUAGUUGGAGGGUAACGGCCUACCAAGGCGACGAUCCGUAGCUGGUCUGAGAGGACGACCAGCCACACUGGGACUGAGACACGGCCCAGACUCCUACGGGA